rnacentral:sRNA from 1 species
GUCUUUGUUGAUAAAAGCAAUGCUGGUCAAAUUAUUAAAAACGUUACCGGUAGUGUGGAACCUAACCAAAUUACCGUUAUUUUUGGUCCUAGUGGCAGUGGCAAAACGACCCUAAUUAAACAGUUAGGUUUAGUUGAAAAUCCGACCUGUGGUUUUUUGAACUGUGGUAACUUUUAUUACUUUGCCAACCAAAAACAUAACCGUGCCACAAAGCAGUUCCAAAACAGCAUUGGCUAUGUGUUACAAAAAGCCGAAGAACAGUUUUUCUGUGAUUCCGUUUUAGAAGAGGUGUUAACGGGAGCGAUUAACCUCGGUUUGUGUCAAAAGGGUGAUGUCAACUUUGCCAAAAAGUACUUAGAGAUGUGUGGUUUGGACCACAUUCCCUUAAUUAAAAACCCCUUGG